rnacentral:rRNA from 1 species
GACGAACGCUGGCGGCGUGCCUAAUACAUGCAAGUAGAACGCUGAAGGAGGAGCUUGCUUCUCUGGAUGAGUUGCGAACGGGUGAGUAACGCGUAGGUAACCUGCCUGGUAGCGGGGGAUAACUAUUGGAAACGAUAGCUAAUACCGCAUAACAGUAGAUAUCGCAUGAUAUCUACUUGAAAGGUGCAAUUGCAUCACUACCAGAUGGACCUGCGUUGUAUUAGCUAGUUGGUGAGGUAACGGCUCACCAAGGCGACGAUACAUAGCCGACCUGAGAGGGGGGUCGGCCACCCUGGGACUGAGACACGGCCCAGACUCCUACGGGAGGCAGCAGUAGGGAAUCUUCGGCAAUGGACGGAAGUCUGACCGAGCAACGCCGCGUGAGUGCAGAAGGUUUUCGGAUCGUAAAGCUCUGUUGUAAGAGAAGAACGAGUGUGAGAGUGGAAAGUUCACACUGUGACGGUAUCUUACCAGAAAGGGACGGCUAACUACGUG